rnacentral:sRNA from 1 species
UAUGAUCGCAUGUGUUACUACAUGCAAUGUAAUCGUAUCUAUUCUUUUUUAAAGACUUUAUGAUCCAUUUGCCGUGAGUCCCACCAGCUAUGUAGGAAUAUUCUAUCUUCUUUAUAAGAGCUUUGAUACAUGCAAAAUACNUGGAAAACAAUGUCCGAACAUAUAAUUUUCCCCCCGUAAUAUAGCA